rnacentral:rRNA from 1 species
GAUGAACGCUGGCGGCGUGCAUAAUACAUGCAAGUCGAGCGCACAGACGAGGAGCUUGCUCCUCUGACGUUAGCGGCGGACGGGUGAGUACCACGUGGAUAACCUACCUCUCCGACUCGGAUAACUUCGGGAAACCGGAGCUAAUACCGGAUAAUAUAUUGAACCGCAUGGUUCCAUAGUGAACGACGGUUUUGCUGUCACUUAUAGAUGGAUCCGGGCCGCGUUAGCUAGUUGGUAAGGUAACGACUUACCAAGGCAACGAUUGGUAGCCGACCUGGGAGGGCGAUCCGCAAACCUGGAACUGAGAGACGGCCCAGACGCCUAGGGGAGGCAGCGGUAGGGAAUCGUCCGCAAUGGGCGAACGCCUGACGGAGCAGCGCCGCGUGAGUGAUGAAGGUCUUCGGACGUGAAGACGCUGUUAGGAGGGAAGAAAAAAUGUGUAAGGAACUAGGCACGUCGUAACGGUACCAAAUCAGAAAGCCACAGCUAACUACGUU